rnacentral:misc_RNA from 1 species
GAAAGAUUGGCGUUUGGUAAAGGAAAUGAGUGAACGCUACCCUUCUAUUGUUCCAAAUUUUGGGCUCCAUCCCUGGUUUAUAACUGAGAGAACUCCUGAUUGGCUGAAAACCUUGAGAGGAUUUUUGGAGUCUACUCCUGCUGCUGCAGUUGGAGAGAUUGGUUUAGAUAAAGGUUCAUUUGGAAGGAAGAUUGAUUUCGCUGAUCAGGUGGAUGUCUGUCGACAGCAGCUUCAACUUGCCAAAGAGUUGGAAAGACCAGCAUCCAUACACUGUGUUCGUGCUUUCGGGGAUCUUCUUGAAUUAUUAAAAUCUGCGGGGCCUGUUCCUGCUGGUUUCAUCCUGCACUCUUACCUCGGCUCUGCUGAAAUGGUUCCUGAAUUUGCUAAGCUUGGUGCUUACUUCUCCUUUUCUGGGUUCCUUAUGUCCAUGAAGGAAAGCAAGGCGAAGAAAAUGUUGAAGUCAAUUCCUAAGGACAGGAUCUUGUUGGAGACAGAUGCACCAGAUGCUUUGCCAAAAUUAAGCAAUCCAGAUUCUCUGUAUUUAAUCGAGAAGGAAGCUUCAUCAGCUGAUGGAACAUCAAGUGGAGGAAUCAAUGAUGGAAAUCCAUCCGAGGAGGACAAAGGCAAUGAACGACAGGCAGAAGAAAUCUAUAACCAUCCUGCAAACAUUCACCAUGUACUCUCCUAUGUUGCAUCAUUACUUGAGCUGACAAAAGAAGAACUUGCUGAGAUAAGCUUCGCAAAUGCUUCUCGGCUAUUUUCUUAUGAAGGUUCAAAGGUACUGCAAGAGGUCUUAAAAUGAUGUGCCAUGACAUGACUAUUGGUUUCCUAAGAAGAAAUGCUGCUUUAGUUUUGAUAUCUGCUAGUUAUACUUCAAUUAGUUCCUGUGUAUCAUGACUCAACUACUAUAAUUC